rnacentral:rRNA from 1 species
UACGUAGGGGGCGAGCGUUGUCCGGAUUUAUUGGGCGUAAAGAGCUCGUAGGCGGUUCGAUUAGUCAGGUGUUAAAACUCCAGGCUCAACUUGGAGAGGCCACCUGAUACUGUCGUGACUAGAGUCCGGUAGAGGAGCAUGGAAUUCCUGGUGUAGCGGUGAAAUGCGCAGAUAUCAGGAGGAACACCAAUGGCGAAGGCAGCUCGCUGGGACGGUACUGACGCUGAGACGCGAAAGCGUGGGGAGCGAACAGG